AGCAGCCGCGGUAAUUCCAGCUCCAAUAGCGUAUAUUAAAGUUGUUGCAGUUAAAAAGCUCGUAGUUGAAUUUCGGGAUCAGUACGGCGGUCGUGCCUCUGGUAUGUACUGUUGUUACUGGUUCCUCCCUUCUGAAGAACUGUCAUGUCAUUAAUUUGGUGUGGCGGGGAAUCAGGACUGUUACUUUAGAAAAAUUAGAGUAGUUUAAAGCAGGCUCGCGCUUGAAUACAUUAGCAUGGAAUAAUGAAAUAGGACGUUUGAUCCUAUUUUGUUGGUUUCUAGGAUUGACGUAAUGAUUAAUAGGGAUAGUUGGGGGCAUUAGUAUUCAAUUGUCAGAGGUGAAAUUCUUGGUAUUUAUUGAAGACUAACUACUGACGAAAGCAUUUGCCAAGGAUUGU
rnacentral:rRNA from 1 species